UAAACUCUGCUUUUCACGAACAGCCAGACCAGCCGUAAAUUUUUUUAGGGUUUGGCGUUCUUCUUCCACAAUGAAUCCAAGAGUCUUUUUCUUCUUCGAUCUCUGCAAGGCGGUGUCUAUAUUCCUCUAAAAUCACUAAUUCAUCGAUCUUUUUUUUAGAAUAGAAGUCAGCCCUAUGUUUUUCAACCGUGGAGGUGAGAUUCAAACGCGGUGGAAAGACUUUCCGUCACCGGCUGAUCCGGAAAUCAAGUGAUUGAAUCAAGAGCAGAGACAGAUGGGUUUGGGUUUGAUCUUGGACUCAACGAAGGAUGAUGAACCAGAUCCAUAUACUCGCGGAUAUGGUGGGUACUUAGUCUCGGACCCGAUAUGCUUCUUUUUAAAGAUCACUUUCUCCUCAAUUUUGUUCGUUUAUGUCCUCAACUUCUAUAAAGCUUUAUUACCGAGGGGCAAUUGGCAUUUUGCUGGUGUAUGAUGUAACAGACGAGUAAUCCUUUAACAGUAACUUUUGCUUCUGUCUAAGCAUAACAUCUUUGAUUUUUACAUUUUUGCUCUGUUCUGGACCUGUUUUCUUGACCUUAUUGCAGAUAUUAGGAACUGGAUUCGUAAUAUCGAACAGCACGCUUCGGAAAAUGUCAACAAGAUCUUGGUAGGGAACAAAGCCGAUAUGGACGAGAGCAAGAGGGCUGUUCCAACAUCAAAGGGUCAAGCACUUGCUGAUGAAUAUGGAAUCAAGUUCUUUGAAACAAGUGCCAAAACAAAUUUAAAUGUGGAAGAGGUUUUCUUCUCGAUAGCAAAGGACAUUAAGCAGAGACUCACAGAUACUGACUCGAGAGCAGAGGAUGAAAAGAAGUGUAACCGGCAGUUUUUGUGACAUGCUCUUCGUAGCACCGUCAGACAGGAGCUAAGGUUCAUAAUUUAAAAUAAACAAAACUUUCUCAUAUUUUUUUACUUCAUAGUGGAUGAGUAUUAAGUUAGCUGGUAAGUUUUAUUUUAUACUUGCAACUCUUAUAUUCUCCCCAAUCUGUUUCAUGAUGCUCUUGGAACUGCUUGCAGUGAUGGUAUGUAGGGUUACUUGACUCCAUGUUCAGGGGAGACUCGCCUGCCUAUAUUCAAACCCCCCAAUGGAGGGUCUGGAGGACAUCUUGACCAACCAAGUCAUGUGAGAUCACUGACCUAGAUCACAGGUUUCUUCUAAUGGAAAGAAUGUACUCAACUCAUCGAAUGAUACUUUGAAGAUAUAAGAAAAACAACAUCUAAUAGUGUACUUGAAGAUCAUAAUACUCCGGAGAAGAUGUUAUUUCUUAUGUUUAUAUUUUAUUUUUUCUGACAUUAUAUAUUACAUUACAAUUCUUUAGAUCAAUCUAUUGAACCAUUACUUUA